rnacentral:rRNA from 1 species
ACAAGCAACGAAGGGCAACAGGAGGAUGCCUUGGCGACACAUGGCGAUGAAGGACGUGGCAAGCUGCGAAAAGCUUCGGAGAGCCGCAAGCAGGCUUUAACCCGGAGAUAUCCGAAUGGGGAAACCCACCGGCGGUAAAGCGUCGGUACUGCGACAUGAAUAGAUAGUGUUGUAAGAGCGAAACCCGCUGAAGUGAAACAUCUCAGUAAGCGGAGGAAAAGAAAGCGAAGCGAUUCCCUGAGUAGUGGCGAGCGAAAGGGGAGCAGCCCAAACCGUGGGGAUUAAUCCUUGCGGGGUUAGGACUCAGACGUGGACUUAUAUUAGAUAGAAGAACGGUGUGGAAAAGCCGGCCAAAGAGGGUGAGAGUCCCGUAUUUGAAAUUUAAUAUAUACCUAUGAGUAUCCAGAGUAGCACCGGACACGUGAAACCUGGUGUGAAAGAGUGCAGACCACUGCAUAAGGCUAAAUACAAGGUGUCGACCGAUAGUGAACAAGUACCGUGAGGGAAAGGUGAAAAGGACCCCUGUUAGGGGAGUUAAAAGUACCUGAAACCUGUUGCCUACAAGCGGUCAGAGCCCCUUAGUGGGGUGAUGGCGUACCUUUUGCAUAAUGGGCCUAGGAGUCUAUGUCAGUUGCGAGCUUAAGCGUUUACGACGUGGAGGCGAAGCGAAAGCGAGUCUGAAUAGGGCGGUAGUAACUGGGAUAGAACCCGAAGCGGAGGCGAUCUAGCCAUGGCCAGGCUGAAGCAUCGGUAACACGAUGUGGAGGGCCGAACCCAUUAACCUUGAGAAGUUAAGGGAUGAGCUGUGGUUAGGAGUGAAAGGCUAAUCAAGCCCCGUAAUAGCUGGUUCUCUCCGAAAUAUAUUUAGGUAUAGCGUCAAAUGCUGAUUACCGGGGGUAAAGCACUGAAAAGGCUAGGGUUCACACCAGAAUACCGAACCUUAUCAAACUCUGAAUACCGGUGAGUGGAAUUUGGCAGUCAGUCAGUGGGGGAUAAGCUUCAUUGGCGAGAGGGAAACAUCCCAGACCAUCGAAUAAGGUCCCAAAGAUAGUGCUAAGUGGUAAGAAGGAUGUAAGUUUUCAUAGACAAUGGGGAUGUUGGCUUAGAGGCAGCCAUCAUUUAAAAAGUGCGUAAUAGCUUACCCAUCGAGAGAAUUUGCGCCGAAAAUGAUCGGGACUAAGUACUACACCGAAUUUGUGGAAUUAGUAAUAAUUGGUAGGAGAGCGUUCCAACAUCGUAGAAGGCGGAGCGGUGAGCGACGUUGGAGAGGUUGGAAGUGAGAAUCUAGGCAUGAGUAACGAAAAGCAUGGUUAAAAUCCAUGCCGCCGUAAGGAUAAGGUUUCCUGGGGAAGGUUCGUCCGCCCAGGGUUAGUCGGGAGCUAAGGCGAGGCCGUAAGGAGUAGUCGAUGCACAACGGGUUAAUAAUCCCGUACCGGCUUGGUAAUGUUUGAGUUGCAUAUUGACGGAUGAGUGGAUGCUGGCGAGGUGAUGAACGUCCUCGUCUAAGGUGUUGUAAGGCACUGAUGGGACUUUGAGGCUACGGCCGAGGGGGAUCAGCAAUAGCUAAUUCCAGGAAAAUUUAUGCAAUUAAUUAUCAGGUUGCCCGUACCGCAAACCGACACAGGUAUCCGGGAUGAGUAUUCUAAGGCGCGUGAGUUAAAUCUCUCCAAGGAACUCGGCAAAAUGGCCCCGUAUCUUCGGUAGAAGGGGUGCCAACGCGAGUUGGUCUCAGUAAAGAGGCCCAACCGACUGUUUAUCAAAAACACAGCUCUCUGCCAAGUCGCAAGACAACGUAUAGGGAGUGACAUGUGACCAAUGCGGAAAGGUGAAAACUGCUUGUGAAAGCUUGUGGUCUAAGCCCCCGUGAAUGUCGGCCGUAACUAUAACGGUCCUAAGGUAGCGAAAUUCCUUGUCGGG